CCUUCCACCAGGGCACUGGGGAGACAUUCUUCUCUGGCAUUUAGGGAACAGCAAUUUUCACAUUUGUCUGCUCUCCGAGGUGGACAGAAGAGGCUGAUUAGAGCCUGAAGCCAUUUGGUGGCCUCAUUUAUAAUUGCUUACUAUGGGAACCACUGGCAGACUUGGCUUUCAUGCCUGGGAAGGAUGAGACCAAAGCCUGACCCGAAAGCCAGCGAUCGCCAAGAUGAGUUAAAUGAAUAAGCAAAGGAAGCCACUUCUUUCUCUGCUCUCCACUCAGGCCUUGCCAGCCAUUUAAAUAGUACCACUGUGGCUGUUCUCUGAACCCAUUUCAUUUGCCUUCCUUUGGGUUAUUGUUUUCCCCUUUUAGACAAAGAUUUGCAGCUCCCUUCGGGAUUCAAUUGCAACUUUGAUUUCCCCGAGGAGCCCUGUGGUUGGAUGUAUGACCAUGCCAAGUGGCUCCGGACCACCUGGGCCAGCAGCUCCAGCCCGAACGACCGGACGUUUCCAGAUGACAGGAAUUUCUUGCGGCUGCAGAGUGACAGCCGGAGAGAGGGCCAGUAUGCCCGGCUCAUCAGCCCCCCUGUCCACCUGCCCCGAAGCCCGGUGUGCAUGGAGUUCCAGUACCAGGCCACAGGCGGCCG
rnacentral:sRNA from 1 species